rnacentral:tRNA from 1 species
GGCCUCGUAGCUCAGGUGGAUAGAGCGGGGGUUUCCUAAACCCUGACAUGCGGGGGUUCGAGUCCUCCCGGGGCCACCA